CGCUCGACUUUAGCUACUUAUAAGGUCGUUAUAAGUGCUUUCCGCUCGACUUUAGCUACUUAUAAGGUCGUUAUAAGUGUUCCGCUCGACUUUAGCUACUUAUAAGGUCGUUAUAAGUGUUUCCUGCUAUGCACAUCUGAACACUUAAAUACCGUUUUGAGAUUUGACAAUCGGG